rnacentral:lncRNA from 1 species
CCCUGUUUCGGUAUGCCCUGAACAUGGUACGGACCCCUAUUGUGCCCAACCGGAUGCCGGCCGGUAUACCUUCCGGUACUGAUUCGGCGAACCUUUUGGUCAUGGUGUAGUGUUGUAUGGCAAUGAGCAUUAUAUGAAGCUAGGUUGCGGCUAGUGAACUGCAGAUAAGCACUCCAUAAAAUGGCAGCUAAUUUGCUGGAUCUGUCGAUUAGGCAUUACAUUUGCAGUAUGGCAUAUUCUGAUAUUAUCAGUCUAUUAGCUCAUCUAGAAUUUGUAUUUUGAACAUCAAUCCAAUCAUAAUUCCAGUAAGGUACACAAAACUCCUUGUUUUUGCAUGGAGUGGAAUAUGAUCCUUGAAUAUGUCUGAUUAAUAUCAGGUAGACUGCUAUUUUGAGCAUUAAUCCAUAAAAUGUAACACAAAUUACAAAAUAUUUUGACCAAUGUGGAAGUGAUAUAUUACUUAAAUACCUCUGUAGGCCUGAUGUAUUUGUCAUUAAACACAUGAAUUUUAUCAUCAAUCACCUAAAAAGUGAAAAACAACGGCUUAAUUUUUACGCUCAUUUAGAAAAACCAUCUUAGAGAUGUGAUUGUCUUAUUGGUCUUUAUUUAAUUAGUGUUGUUGAAUUUUGGCUAACUUGCACGAACCCCCUAAAUAUUUUUUCAUUGGUUCUUUCUAUAUUAAUCACCUUUCUAACAAUGCAUUGUAGUUGCUAUACAUGUGCUUAGCUAUAUUCUUAAUUUUGGGAAAUGCUAAAUCACAAAUCCAACUCCCAAGUUUAUAAGGCUUUAUGUAAU